AGAUUAAUACAAGAUGGCAUCAUGAGUUCACAUGUUCACAUGAUUAAAGGUAUUCCGUAGACGAUGGGGAUGCGUUCCAUUAGAUAGUAGGCGGGGUAACGGCCCACCUAGUCUUCGAUGGAUAGGGGUUCUGAGAGGAAGGUCCCCCACAUUGGAACUGAGACACGGUCCAAACUCCUACGGGAGGCAGCAGUGAGGAAUAUUGGUCAAUGGGCGAGAGCCUGAACCAGCCAAGUAGCGUGAAGGAUGACUGCCCUAUGGGUUGUAAACUUCUUUUAUAAAGGAAUAAAGUCGGGUAUGCAUACCCGUUUGCAUGUACUUUAUGAAUAAGGAUCGGCUAACUCCGUGCCAGCAGCCGCGGUAAUACGGAGGAUCCGAGCGUUAUCCGGAUUUAUUGGGUUUAAAGGGAGCGUAGAUGGAUGUUUAAGUCAGUUGUGAAAGUUUGCGGCUCAACCGUAAAAUUGCAGUUGAUACUGGAUAUCUUGAGUGCAGUUGAGGCAGGCGGAAUUCGUGGUGUAGCGGUGAAAUGCUUAGAUAUCACGAGGAACUCCGAUUGCGAAGGCAGCCUGCUAAGCUGCAACUGACAUUGAGGCUCGAAAGUGUGGGUAUCAAACAGGAUUAGACACCCUGGUAGUCCACACGGUAAACGAUGAAUACUCGCUGUUUGCGAUAUACUGCAAGCGGCCAAGCGAAAGCGUUAAGUAUUCCACCUGGGGAGUA
rnacentral:rRNA from 1 species